rnacentral:rRNA from 1 species
AGCGAACGCUGGCGGCGUGCUUAACACAUGCAAGUCGCGCGGGAAAGAGACUUUCGGGUCUUGAGUAGAGCGGCGGACGGGUGCGUAAGACGCGGGUGACCUAUCCGAGAGGCGGGGAGUAACCCAGCGAAAGGCGGGGCUAAUACCGGAUGAGCCCCCAGGCGGAAACGCGCGGGGGCGAAAGGAUGCUACUCGAUAGUGGCAUGUCCUCACGGAGGGGCCCACGGCCUAUCAGCUAGNGGUGUGGUAACGGCGCACCAAGGCGAAGACGGUAGCUGGUCUGAGAGGAUGGCCAGCCAC